GAAGAUAUAGCUCAGUGGUGCAGCACCUGCCUGACAGACACAAGGUCCUGAGUUUGAUUCCUGGUAUCUUCC
rnacentral:tRNA from 1 species